rnacentral:lncRNA from 1 species
GCAGACUUCUGAUUGUUUUAGGGUUUCUAUGAUUGAAGACGGGAGAAUAUGAUUUAUAACACUAGAAUUUAGUUUUGGAGCGCAUUCGAAGUCAUUGGAGGCCAUAUCUUCAAGGAAUUUUUAUGCAAUCUUAUUCUUAUCAAUUGGUAUUGUAAUUUUAUCAGUAUGAGUAGCUAAACACUCUUAGGUUAGGUUUUGUCUGAUGAACUUGUUUCAAAUCUGUUGGGACAUAUGUUUAAUUUAAUGAUGCAUGAAUUAUCUUAGUUAUAUUUCUAUUUAA